rnacentral:rRNA from 1 species
UACUGAGGAGGCAAGCGUUAUCCGGAUUUAUUGGGCGUAAAGCGUCCGCAGGUGGUUUUACAAGUCUGCUGUCAAAGCGCGAAGCUCAACUUCGUAUAGGCAGUGGAAACUGUAAGACUUGAGUGUGAUAGGGGCAGAGGGAAUUCCCAGUGUAGCGGUGAAAUGCGCAGAUAUCAGGAGGAACACCAAUGGCGAAGGCAGCUCACUGGGACGGUAUUGACGCUGAGACGCGAAAGCGUGGGGAGCAAACAGG